AUUGAACGCUGGCGGCAGGCCUAACACAUGCAAGUCGAACGAGUGGCGGACGGGUGAGUAAUGUCUGGGAAACUGCCCGAUGGAGGGGGAUAACUACUGGAAACGGUAGCUAAUACCGCAUACCAUCGGAUGUGCCCAGAUGGGAUUGGCUAGUAGGUGGGGUAACGGGUCACCUAGGCGGCGAUCCCUAGCUGGUCUGAGAGGAUGACCAGCCAGCCUGUAACUGAGACACGGUCCAGACUCCUACGGGAGGUCGCAGUGGGAAAUAUUGCACAAUGGGCGAAAGCCUGAUGCAGCCAUGCCGCGUGUAUGAAGAAGGCCUUCGGGUUGUAAAGUACUUUCAGCGGGGAGGCGUUACCCGCAGAAGAAGCACCGGCUAACUCCGUGCCAGCAGCCGCGGUAAUAC
rnacentral:rRNA from 1 species